rnacentral:rRNA from 1 species
GAGUUUGAUCCUGGCUCAGGACGAACGCUGGCGGUGUGCUUAACACAUGCAAGUGGUGCGACGAACCAGAGCUUGCUCUGGGGCAAAGCCGCGAACGGGUGAGUAACACGUGGGUAAUCUACCCCGAUGACUGGGACAACCCGAGGAAACUCGGGCUAAUACCGGAUGUGGUACGGAAACAUAAGUUUCUUUACUAAAGGUAGCUUCGGCUUCCGCAUUGGGAGGGGCCCGCGGCCCAUUAGCUAGUUGGUGGGGUCAAGGCCUACCAAGGCAACGAUGGGUAGCUGGUCUGAGAGGACGAUCAGCCACACUGGGACUGAGACACGGCCCAGACUCCUACGGGAGGCAGCAGUGGGAAUCUUGCGCAAUGCGUGAAAGCGUGACGCAGCAACACCGCGUGAGGGAAGACGGCCUUAGGGUUGUAAACCUCUUUCAGAUGGGACGAAGGUGGUGCGGUGAAUAGCCG